rnacentral:misc_RNA from 1 species
GUGAGUCAUCGAAUCUUUGAACGCACAUUGCACCUUCUGGUAUCCCGGAAGGUAUACCUGUUUGAGUAUCUAUAAUUACUCUUACGGACCUCUUCUGAGUGCUCUUUUGCAUGAGGAAGGGUGAUGUAAGGACUUGAGGUUUCUAUUUUCCUACAAGAAAAUAGUGCCUUUAAAUGCAAUUAGUGGUUCUCGACUCCAAUGGGGACUAGCGCAAACCGUGGUUUGGUUCCUGUACCAUGUGUCUUUGUGGUCUAGUAUUUGAGCUCACUGGGUCUUUGAUUAUACUGGACAAUGUCCUUU